rnacentral:sRNA from 1 species
UGAACAGAGGAACGUUGAAGUUUGUCUGUGCGACAGCAGCAGUCUCACGGCUGAUCUGAAUGUCAAUUACAUCAGUAAGAACAGUCAUUCCUGUCUCCUAUUAGUGUUCGAAGUUUAUGUCGAUGUGGGACUCAAUAAUGUGACCCGGGCGACCAGCGUCGUAAUAAACGCCGUGAAUAUCAGCCCCAGCAGCAAACUCUU